ensembl:snRNA U6 U6 spliceosomal RNA
GUGCCGAGGAUGUUGCUCAGUGGCUCAUAUACUAUAAUUGGAACAAUACAGAGAAGAUAAGCAUGGCCCCUGUAUAUAAGGAUGAUCCAUAAUAUGAAGUUGUCCAUCUUAAA